GCUCUAUGAUGAUCAACCCCAUGCGUGUCAUCUGACCCCCGCAACCCCAAUUCCCCCCCCCCGACAGCGUUCUGCUGAGCUGGGGGAAGGGCCUGGGGUUCUGGGGGGGAAGUGAUCAUAACCGACAAGGUCCCUGAGAAC